UACGGAGGGGGCUAGCGUUGUUCGGAAUUACUGGGCGUAAAGCGCGCGUAGGCGGACCUGCAAGUCGGGGGUGAAAGCCCGAGGCUCAACCUCGGAACUGCCUUCGAUACUGCGAGUCUCGAGUCCGGGAGAGGUGAGUGGAAUUCCUAGUGUAGAGGUGAGAUUCGUAGAUAUUAGGAAGAACACCAGUGGCGAAGGCGGCUCACUGGCCCGGUACUGACGCUGAGGCGCGAAAGCGUGGGGAGCAAACAGG
rnacentral:rRNA from 1 species